rnacentral:rRNA from 1 species
UGGGGAAUUUUGGACAAUGGACGCAAGUCUGAUCCAGCCAUGCCGCGUGCGGGAAGAAGGCCUUCGGGUUGUAAACCGCUUUUGUCAGGGAAGAAACGAGUUUCUCUAAUACAGAGACUUAAUGACGGUACCUGAAGAAUAAGCACCGGCUAACUACGUGCCAGCAGCCGCGGUAAUAUGUAGGGUGCAAGCGUUAAUCGGAAUUACUGGGCGUAAAGCGUGCGCAGGCGGUUAUAUAAGACAGAUGUGAAAUCCCCGGGCUCAACCUGGGAACUGCAUUUGUGACUGCAUAGCUGGAGUGUGGCAGAGGGGGAUGGAAUUCCGCGUGUAGCAGUGAAAUGCGUAGAUAUGCGGAGGAACACCGAUGGCGAAGGCAAUCCCCUGGACCUGUACUGACGCUCAUGCACGAAAGCGUGGGGAGCAAACA